CCUACGGGAGGCAGCAGUAGGGAAUAUUGCUCAAUGGGGGAAACCCUGAAGCAGCAACGCCGCGUGGAGGAUGAAGGUUUUCGGAUUGUAAACUCCUUUUGUUAGAGAAGAUAAUGCCGGAAGUUAACGAAAAAGCACCGUCUAACACCGUGCCAGCAGCGGCGGUAAUACGGAGGGUACAAGCGUUACGCGGAAUCACUGGGCGUAAAGAGAGCGAAGGCGGGAUAGCAAGUCAGAUGUGAAAUCCUAUGGCUUAACCAUAGAACUGCAUUUGAAACUGUUAUUCUGGAGUAUGGGAGAGGUAGGUGGAAUUCUUGGUGUAGGGGUAAAAUCCGUAGAGAUCAAGAGGAAUACUCGUUGCGAAGGCGACCUGCUAGACCAUAACUGACGCUGAUGCGCGAAAGCGUGGGGAGCAAACAGGAUUAGAUACCCCGGUAGUC
rnacentral:rRNA from 1 species